rnacentral:rRNA from 1 species
UACAGAGGUCCCGAGCGUUGUUCGGAUUCACUGGGCGUAAAGGGUGCGUAGGCGGCUUUGCAAGUCUGAUGUGAAAUCUCCGGGCCCAACCCGGAAACGGCAUUAGAAACUGCGGGGCUGGAGGCUUGGAGGGGGAACUGGAAUGCUCGGUGUAGCAGUGAAAUGCGUAGAGAUCGAGCGGAACACCAGUGGCGAAGGCGAGUUCCUGGACAAGACCUGACGCUGAGGCACGAAAGCCAGGGGAGCAAACAGG